ensembl:lncRNA
AACAGCUGUUACACGGAUGAUUUAGCUAUCAGACACGAGCAGCAGCAGCUCAUUGAUCAUCGUCAAGGACAUUCUUUGUGUGAUUUGCACAAGUUCCAGUAUGACCUCUGGAGCUGGUGGAAGUGUCAUCCAGUCCACUCCGUAGAAAUCUCCUACCAUCUUCCAGCCGUGAUUUACAGGAGAAGGAAUGUCUGGCAUGCACUCAAGACUCCUUCUGUGUACUGCAGCCUGAUAGCUUGCCCGCUGGAUGUGUUUUUGCAAGGAGUCUUUGUUUGGAGAGCGCUCACUGUGUCACAUCCAGAAAAGGCAUGCAGACCUACAAGGGCAUCACAUUUGUCUUCGCCAAGAUGGGCAUGUAGCUUGGUAAUGUCAGUAAUGUGUGUGUUUCUCCCCUUGGCUGUAUGGAAAUGGAGGUGGCCAUCAAUGUGGCUGCAGAAAGCUAGAGCCAGCACAAAGACAUCAGUGUCUGGGCUCUUGAUUACCAGGUCAUGGCUGUGUUUGGCUGGAUGGGCUGCAUGCAGUAUCAUUCUGGUGUCUGCCUCCUCUUGACUUGUCUCUAGGUCUUUGAGUUCCAGUAUCUCAAGAUGAGCUCCAAUGUUGGAAGAAAUACUCCAGUAAGUUUUCUUUAUUUUGGCCACAUGCCAGGAAUUUUUUCCACUGCUUUGGGGUUUUUUGGUCAUCUUCACAUAUUUAGAUUUUUUGGUAGCCCUGUUCUGCGCGCCGACUACGCUCAGCAUUUUUGAUGCUCAGGUCACUGUAUGUGUCGCAUACAAAAUGAAGCUCUGUUGACUUGGUUGCCUUAGCUGAGUGAACUAAUGUCUUCAGUACAUGAUCAGCAUACAACCCAAAUUUGUAUUCUGAUCAUGUACUGAAGACAUUAGUUCACUCAGCUAAGGCAACCAAGCCAACAGAGCUUCAUUUUGUAUGCGACACAUACAGCGACCUGAU